rnacentral:rRNA from 1 species
AUUGAACGCUGGCGGCAUGCUUUACACAUGCAAGUCGAACGGUAACAGGCCGCAAGGUGCUGACGAGUGGCGAGCGGGUGAGUAAUGCAUCGGAACGUGCCCAGUCGUGGGGGAUAACGCAGCGAAAGCUGCGCUAAUACCGCAUACGAUCUAUGGAUGAAAGCGGGGGACCGAAAGGCCUCGCGCGAUUGGAGCGGCCGAUGUCAGAUUAGGUAGUUGGUGGGGUAAAGGCUCACCAAGCCAACGAUCUGUAGCUGGUCUGAGAGGACGACCAGCCACACUGGGGCUGGGACACGGCCCAGACUCCUACGGGAGGCAGCAGUGGGGAAUUUUGGGCAAUGGGCGCAAGCCUGAUCCAGCAAUGCCGCGUGCAGGAAGAAGGCCUUCGGGUUGUAAACUGCUUUUGUACGGAACGAAACGGUCCGGGUUAAUACCCUGGGCUAAUGACGGUACCGUAAGAAUAAGCACCGGCUAACUACGUGCCAGCCGCCGCAGUAAUAC